AAAAAUAAAGUGGGACUAAAGCGUAAAAAUAAAAUAUGGCUCCCAAAAACAAAUAAAAAUAAAUAAAUAAUGGGAGCUUUAAUUCUAAAAGCUAACUCCGUCUUCAAAAAUUCCCAAAUCUAGCUUCAUCAAGAAAACCAUUACGCCAGAGACCACCGAGAGAAGUUGAAGUCUGAGCGGAGACUAUCACGGGCGGUCCUUCUAGUAACGAUACCCUAUAUUCCUUAAUUUUCCUUUUCUCAUUUUCUUAUUUCUAUCGCCGCUGUCCACGUGUAAACCGAUCCCUGGUGAGCUUCUUUAACUAUGAACCAGAGUUCUCUGUUAACGACACAAGCAUGAAUACCUGAAUGUGCCGUCAGUUCUCCAUAGUGUAUUUCCAUGCUUGUGUCGUUUCUCUAUUGCUGGUCCUAGCCGGGAAAUAAUUCUGUAUGUAGACUUGACCAUGAGCUCGAGGACUCUCUGAAAUCCUGGCUCACAUAUUUGAACAUUGAUUCCUCGAAGUCCAUGGAUGCUUUGAUGGAUCCUUUUCAAACUUAAAGAAGUUAAAGAUAGAACAUUGCUGCCAAAUCAAAGUAAUGUUUGCUCGAUGGUUGUGGCAAAAUCUCCACAACCUUGAACAUGUUGUGGUGUCUUAUUGUGAUAAGAUGAAAGAAAUUAUUAGCGGGGAUGAGAAUAAUGAGGAAGAGGUGAGCAGUCAGUACUUGAGUAGUGCUUCGUCAUCAUCUCGGUCUCUUACCUCUACUGAUGUCAUCCUCCAUAAACUAAGAGUAGUUCAUUUAUUUGAGCAAGGUGAUUUUCUGAAACAAUACAUGAGAAGUUUGUUGAAGACCACCUUUGUUUCUCAAAUUAUUGCUACAAUUUUCUUUGGUUAGAUGACGGGUACCCGACUGCUUUGUGUAAAUAUCAGCAUUCAAUCACUUUCUUUAUUACAUGAAAGUUCUGAUGCUAUGAUCACCUUCUGAAUUACCACUCACUGUUAUGCUUCUGUUACAAGUAAAAGUUACUAGCUUUGCUCUCUGAGAUGUUUCUAGAUAUUUGAGUUUUGAUGCUGAAAUCUCCUAAACAUCAAGAAUAGGCAGAAUUCCAUUUCUUGAUAUAGUUAAGGAGAAACAGAUACUUCACAAAGGUUCUCUGGUAAUUGAUAGCAAAUCUGCUUGUCUUGCUGACCUGAAUAUAUUUCCUGAAGAAGUACAACGAGGGAUAAAUUCAUGAGCAUCGUGAUAUUACAGUACAUUUUACAGGAUUUUGGAGGCUUCAGCUUACAAGUCAAGAUGCAAUUCUGAAGAUUUCGAACAAGUUGACAAAUUGGUUAUCUUUUUUCAAACUAUUAGACGAAUCGUUAUAGUAUUAUUACUAGGGAUGUUAGCCUUUGCAGGCUAAUGAGUAGGGUAAAUAUAGUAUGACUUAUGUAUUUUUGUAUACAAUGGCAUUGCUAAUUCCGAUUUUUAAUUAAUACUAGUGAUGACUUUGUUUAUAUGCGCUUGAUUUU